CAGUUGAAAAAUAUUAAAAAUACAUAGGCACAAUUUUUUUUAUAAGCAUUUAAAGUACAAAUUUUGACAACAUUUAUCAAAUUUAUAAUUUAUUAAUUAUUUUGUAGUUAAAAAUUUAUAAAUUUUUAACUUUUAUGGCUAAGGAUUGAAAAUUUAAAACAAGGCUCCACGUAAAUAGGUUAUAUAUAAAUUACUUUAUUCACAAUAAUAUCAUCAAAUAUACUUGGUAAAAUCAUAGGCUGACUGACCGUUUUCGCUCAGAAUCGUUUUUCUUAUACAAUGAUAUUAUAUCAUUGAAUUCAAAUUUAACACCAUCCAUUACAGUGACCCACUUGUAACCUACCGUACAGCAGAGCGACAUCCACUUAUCCACCUUUUUUUAAUUGUUUUUAGAUAUCACUAAUAUUGGAUUCUUUAAGAAUAUGCUGUCACACAUUACUCCAAUACAGUCAGCCAUUACUGUACAGUCUGUGCACACAUAUAAAUAAAAUUUAAUGAUAUUAUAAUAUUUGAUAUAAAAUACAAUUUAUAUCAAAUUAUUUCAUAAUUUAUACAACAAUAUUAAAUUAUUAGAAUAUUGUAAUACAACUUUAAUUGAUAGGUAUACUCUAAAAUAUAAAAUAUAUUCACUAUUUCAUUAAACUAGUAUGGACCCUCAAAAAAAAAACAGAUUGAGGCUUUUAAAUAAAAAAAUAAUUGAGUGUAGGUAUUACUUGUACUUACAUAAGAAAGUAAUACAAUUAAUGAGAUUGAAAUUUUUUAUUUUAUUACGGCUAUGUAAUUAUUGUGUAGAAUUGAAAAAAAAACAUUACCUACCUAUAGUCUGUUCAGAAUGAGAUCGCUUCUCGGCGGCGACCAGUUUUCGUCGGGCGGCGGUCAGACGUUGUCUCCACUACGGCGACGCGUCGGGCACUGCCACGUAACAAAAACACGCCCAUGCGCACUAUUUGGCCGCCCGUACCGAUCUCAUUCUGAACAGACUAUGAGUAUGAUUAAAAUCUUUUAAAUUAUAAAAUGUUAAAAUAUUACUUGUUAAGAAUUUGAAAUGGUUAAUAAAGUUAAUUUAUAUAAAUUUCCAAAACAAAUUCUGUAUAUAAUAUUCUGUAGGUAAUUUAUUUAUACAUGAAUGCAUCAAAGUUAGUUCAGACAAAUUGAAUGGUUUUAAUUUAUUAUGGUGGAUUUCAAUAUUAAAAUAAUACAAAUUAUACUACAUUAAUAAGAAAUUUAGAUAAGGAAGAUCAAAUGGUUGAUGUUUGAUAACUACCCAUUUCACAUUCGACAUUUAGGUACAAGUAAAUAUGAAGUAAUGCAAUAAUAUAACGUACAUAGGCGUGUUCAAACUUUGGUGGCCGAGGGGGCACAAAAAAUUUUUAAAAUGUGACACCUAUUUUUUUUUUAGACAUUUAGAAACUUUCAUUUUUUAUGUUACAAAAUUCACAAUGGUAGGAAUAUUUUUUAAUUAUGUUCAAAAAGUAUAACCUUUGUCAAAACAAUAAAAAUACAUUUAAAGCUAAAUUAAAAACAGAUACAUAAUGAAGUAAAUUGUUGAUAAAAAUAAAGUGCAUAUAUUAUAUGAUUAUUACUUAUUAGUUGGGCUCGGAUUUAUAUGUAAAUACAUAUUUUUACUGUGACUUGAUAAAUUAAUUUAGGUAAGUGAUGAAUUCGUUUCAAGGGAUUUCCAUUGUAAUGAACUAUAUAUAAAUUCAAAAUGGUCAAACGCUGUGUGCUAUGCAGAGUUGUGGACAACAUCGAUGACGUUUCCGUACACAGAUUUCCAAUCGCCGUACAUCGUCGUAUUGAGUGGGUGGCAUUUGUGGUGGACCAAGGUUUUCCCGUGAACCAAACAUCUCAGCUGUGUUCGAGGCAUUUCGUCCCCAGUGUCGACUACGCUGUGGGAAACGCGCAGCGCCGCCGUCGCCCGUCUGUGGCCCACGACAGUGCCUUCUUUGGUUGUGUGUGGGUGUCUGGUGUUUUCCCGAGCCGACCCGAGUCCGCCGCUCUGGAUACUCGUGCUGGUUCGUUCGUCCUUUUGGCGGGCCGACCGGAGUCCGCCGCCCUUGCAGUCUCGUUCUCCAGUUGUCCAGCGAUGCCGUGAUCGCCGUCCCGCCCGUGGUGUCACAGGUGGGGGGAUGAACAACGUGGUCGGUGACACCUCCGACGACUCGCGGUAGCGAAUAGUGUGAGGAUUGAGACUACAUUAUAAUUUUUAACCCGGCAAAUACUAUAACAGUUAUUAUGGUUACUAUAAUAAGUAAUAUCACAUCAUCGUUGACACGUCUUAAAAAAAACAUUAAAACAAAAUUAUAAAUAUAAAUUGGUGGCAAUUGAAAUUGAUAACAUACUAAAUAGAUUUUAAAUUCAAUUUUUAACAAUAAAAUAAUAUUAUUAAGUCUAUAUUAUAUUAUGCCUGUUUUACAAAAAUACUGUACGAUAUUAUUGUAAUUUUUAUUUUUAUUGUAUCAUCGACAUGCAUUAUUGAUAAUACCUUUUAAUACUAACCAACUUUGAAUAACAUGACGAUAGAACCUUUUUAUACUUACGUAAACUUAUCAGAAUAAAAAAUAUCUAUCGAACUACAACUAUAAUCAGUAAUUUUUCAUGACAUGGCACCGUUUCAUUUUCUGUAUCCCACUGAGUAUUGUAUGUAGAAACACCGUUUUUGAAUAAAAAGAUUCACAAUUGAAAAUUAAACAAAUGUAUGCAAAAAAACAAUUUUUGAAAAAAGUGGACAUAGAACCUUUUCAUUCUCAGCCCGCGUACUUACUCUAUUACUUUUAAUUUUGUGUAUUCGACUAUCGUAGUCCUAGUGUGAACUUUUGGGGGGCCAAUAUAAAUAUUUAUAAAAACAGGAAUAGUCGCUUUUCGAAGAAAAAAUAGCACUGAUUAUAUGUAUUUUAUAAUAGAUGAUGGUUUGUAUAAUCAACGACAAUAGACAAUAGUAUAAAAAUAAAUUGACCAUCGCAAAUAGAAAUAUAUCUGACUAUCGAUAUUAAUCAUAACUGUGGAUGAUUUUAUUAUAAGCUAGUUAUACAUAUUAAAUUGUUGAAAAAUUAAAAACAUUUAUUCAAUAUCCUGUAACGUAUCAUCAUUACGUUUAUUUAAUAAGCACCAUAAUAUGCACAGUAGACAUAUUAUGCGCUGACUAUAAUAUAUUAAGCCUUUCCGUUUUAGGUGCCACUUAUAUAUUUCAUGAUUGUAAGGCUCCGGCCAAUAUCGCUAUGUAAGAGAAAGUUCCCCGCGAUUUCAUCACGCGCACCUGAACUUCGUACAAUCCUACCUUUUUGGUUACUUUGUUCGUAUAUUGUAAGUAAUAAUAAAUUUGUUUUUAUUAAUAAUAAUUUAGAUCAAUUGUUAUUUAUUUGUAAUAUUAAGAUCCUAAUACCAUUCGUGCUUCCGAGCUACGGUAAAAAUAUAUUCAAAAGAACUAAUUUCCUCCCUGAAUAUCUUAUAUUUAACGGGUCAUCCCCGACCACGUUACAAUUCUUUUUGGUAUAUUUGAAAUAAGUAUUUAAAUAUCCCUAUAUUAUAGUGUAAAUAAUAUAAAAAAAACACUGAUAUUAUAUCUGGGUUGUUGGUUGAGGGGUGGGGGGGUCCAAUACCCCUGUACCA